rnacentral:lncRNA from 1 species
CGGCGCAGGGAGUGAGGCACUACCGCCGUCCAUCGCGCUGUCGUCGUGCUCCAGGUCUCCAACCCCUGUUCAUUCUCACAGUCUCGCCAAUUGCAGCUUCUUCGUUGAGAUCGACAUUCGCGUCUGGUUUUCGUCUUCUCAGCCGCACUUCUAUCGUCGUCAGUCGUCGUGUUCGUCGCCUGAUCGCCAUUGUCCGUCGCACUCAACAGAUCUUCCUCACACUCUGCCUAAACUGCUCACUCCACGCCGCGCGCCUCCUCCACGUCACCGGAGCCCUUGGUCCUGAGAGUCUCGUGUUC